rnacentral:rRNA from 1 species
GACGAACGCUGGCGGCGUGCUUAACACAUGCAAGUCGAACGGAAAGGCCCUGCUUGCAGGGUGCUCGAGUGGCGAACGGGUGAGUAACACGUGGGUGAUCUGCCCCUUAUUUUGGGAUAAGCCUGGGAAACUGGGUCUAAUACUGGAUAGGACCAUGCUGUAGGUGGUGUGGUGGAAAGAUUAGUUUCGGUAAGGGAUGAGCUCGCGGCCUAUCAGCUUGUUGGUGGGGUAAUGGCCUACCAAGGCGUCGACGGGUAGCCGGCCUGAGAGGGUGGACGGCCACAUUGGGACUGAGAUGCGGCCCAGACGCCUACGGGAGGCAGCAGUGGGGAAUAUUGCGCAAUGGGCGCAAGCCUGAUGCAGCGACGCCGCGUGGGGGGUGAAGGCCUUCGGGUUGUAAACUCCUUUCAGCCAUGACGAAGCCCUUGUGGCGACGGUAGUGGUAGAAGAAGCACCGGCUAACUACGUG